rnacentral:lncRNA from 1 species
GAAUAGAAUAGCAUAGAGGCAAGGGUCAGACAAUAGUUUACAUUUUUUGUCCUACAUAGAGGAUAGCUAGAAAAUUCUGUAUGGAGAAUUUUGUGUUUAAGGUUCUGUCUGCCGAAUAUUACUGGGCUUAAUUAUUGCCUGCAUGAUGAUGAUUAGGUAUUUUUUCCUAAGGGUUUUGGAAUACACAGGCUUCUAUAAGGUUCAGAGCUCAAUAGGCGAUUAGUAGGUUUUAUAUAGCUAUGUUUGAAUGACGUGCAGAGGAAUGGUUGGCCAGAGUCUUGCAGGGUAUAAAAUGAGAAAUCACCAUUCAUCCACGUCGCUCUAUUGAUUUCAAAGCAGUUGGGCCAAUUUGCACAGGCUGAGAAUAAGGACUGGAUAAUAGGAAGACUAACACUGUAAACUCUAACCUUGUGGUAUUAGAUUUCAGUUUGUCCAAAUGGCACAGGCUGUUCCACUUGCAUUUCUAGCAGCACACUUUUACCUGACCCAGCCUAUGAAAACAGUACAGCCAAGUAGCUCUAGUGCUCGGCUGCCUUUAUGUACUAGCAAAAGUAAUGACGCCUAGUAUGUAGUAUUAUUAUUUUAUGACAUCAGCAUAGUAUGACAUUUUCUCAAGGGCAGCCCAUAUCCCUUGCCCUCCUCCAUAUUGGCAGCCUUCACUAAUUGACUGUGAAAGUGGAGAAUUCAAUGGUUUAAGGUGAUCUCUUCUCUGAACUCCAAAACAGUUUGUGGAUGGAAAUCAGCUGAAGCAAAACAUUGGUUCAAUUACACUGUCAAGGGAUAUAGCUCCUGUACAACAAAGAGUGACCUUUCAGAGAAAAGAUGAAGCCAGCCUCAGGUUAACUCUGAAGGCCUCAGCUCAUCCAACUGAGAGCAGAUUAGCCCAGAUGGAGACAUUUUCAACACGGUUCUGUCUGACCAAUCAGCGACAGCUGGGAUUAGCCAAAUACCUUCUCUCAUCUGCUUGCUCACAGAAAGCUCUUCAGCUGAAUUGAUUUGACCUGGAAAACUGAAGACAUACCACAAAAUAAAUAAAUAAAUAUAUUCA